CGUUCGGAUUCGGUUCGGUUCGGUUAUUAACCGAAUAACCGUGGUUAUCCGAUCGGUUAUCAGCUUUUUUUUAAUUGUUUUAUCUUUUAUCUAGGGUUAGGUUAAUUAUUUUACUGUCACUUUUACUUUUUCACUUUUCAACAUCUCUCUCUCCUCCAGACUUGCGAAUCGCAAGUUGCGAUUGUCUUCCUUCGACUGCGGUGAGACGCCGUCACCAUCGCCGUCUUCCCUCCGCCGUCAAAGGUCUGAGUCGCCGUCUCCUAUCUUCUCUUUGUCUCCUUUCGUCUCUUUGCUGUCUCUCGUCUUUUCGUCUCCUCUCUUGCGAUUUCGGAUCUGAGAUUAUUGCCGCCGGUGAUUGUUGAACGUCAAGCCUCUCCCCGUUGCCUCCUCCCUUCUCUGUAUUUUAUCUUCUGUCGCGUCCUUGUCCAGAUCGUCGCCGUCUUCCCUCCAUCGUUGGUGGUGGAUCUCUAUCAUGGCGUCUCCGUCUCCACAGGCUUUGGGCAAGAAGGAAUUCGCUUGGUUUCUCGACAAGUUGGGCAUGCAUCAUGUGCACUCACCAACUUGAGGGGGGUAUUAGCGGAGAUUACGAUCAUAUCUUGUAUAUAUUGUUUACCAUAUACAUCUUAGAUACUCUCCAGAUUUUCCUAGGUUUAGUUGGCUUCGUUGUUUGUAUUUAGCUAGGUUUUGCGCAUAAUGGAACACGCACGUUUUUCCCGGACCUCGACUUGUUAUCAUCGUUCUUCUUCUUCCACUUGUGCUUAAAUCUCUUCUUCAUUAAUCUCUA